rnacentral:SRP_RNA from 2 species
GCUGGGUGUGGUGGCGCAGGCCUGUAAUCCCAGCUACUUGGGAGGCUGAGGCAGGAGAAUCACUUGAACCCGGGAGGUAGAGGUUGCAGUGAGCCAAGAUGGAUGGCACCAUUGCACUCCAGCCUGGGUGACAAAGUGAGACCCUGUCUCUC